UACGGGGGGAGCAAGCGUUGUUCGGAUUUACUGGGCGUAAAGGGCGCGUAGGCGGUCAGCACAAGUCAGUUGUGAAAUCUCCGAGCUUAACUCGGAAAGGUCAACUGAAACUGUGCGACUAGAGUGCGGAAGGGGCAACUGGAAUUCUUGGUGUAGCGGUGAAAUGCGUAGAUAUCUGGAGGAACACCGGUGGCGAAGGCGGCAUCCUGGACCGGGAUUGACACUGAGGCGCGAAAGCCAGGGGAGCAAACGGG
rnacentral:rRNA from 1 species